GCUUGCAACACAAACUAGAAACAGGUUCCAGAACAGAAUAAAAUAGAACAGAGUGACAAUUCACUUUAAGUUCAUAGGUCAGCCACUUUAAAGUUUAUUGGUUUUCAUAAGAUUUUGGACACAUCCUCGAAGUGUGAAUAAACAUACCAAUCUCUAGAACUGAAAUUUACUUGAUGCUGGUAUUCAAAGCCGUUGGCCAAUACUCUAUUUAUUGAAAUAUCUAAC